CCUACGGGAGGCAGCAGUGAGGAAUAUUGGUCAAUGGACGCAAGUCUGAACCAGCCAUGCCGCGUGCAGGAAGACGGCUCUAUGAGUUGUAAACUGCUUUUGUACGAGGGGAAACGCAGAUACGCGUAGCUGUCUGAAAGUAGCGUACGAAUAAGGAUCGGCUAACUUCGUGCCAGCAGCCGCGGUAAUACGGAGGAUUCAAGCGUUAUCCGGAUUUAUUGGGUUUAAAGGGUGCGUAGGCGGUCGGAUAAGUGAGAGGUGAAAUCCCGAGGCUCAACUUCGGAAUUGCCUCUGAUACUGUUCGGCUAUAGCGUAGUUGCGGUAGGCGGAAUGUAUGGUGUAGCGG
rnacentral:rRNA from 1 species